rnacentral:lncRNA from 1 species
CUAGCUGUGUUUUGGCCAGAAUAGCCGAGUAAGUACUGAGCUCGAAUACAUACAGCUGCUAUCUGAUCUCAAGAUGGAGGCCCCAUUCGAACUUUCUUGCUUUUUCUACCUUCAUCCAUCAUGCUCUCAUGGGAAUACGGGCCCAACUCUAGAAAUUUUUAAGCAUACUCUGAUACAGUCAUGUCACCUUGGGCCAGGUGCGCAAACUCCAUUUCUUUCAGAUGUUGAAGAUGCUCUGGGAGGUACUCUGUAUUAAAGGCCAUCUAGAAUUGUUCCUAAGUGACUGGAACGGGUAUGGUGGCCUACUUGAGUUGCCACCAGCGGCCUGCCUCUCCCACCAGCAUGUAGGUGGCAAGUAUGACUCAUUGUUCGGGAAUCACCCCAAGAAUCGUGAAGGCUUUCUCUGUCUCAACUAAACAGUACUCGGCCUCUUCAAAUGAGGAUCCCCCUAGAAAGGUAGAUGGAUUUAGUUUUUUAUACCUCUCAAUGUAGUCUGGGUCCAUCAUGUAAGGAACUGAGUCCUGUGGAAGAGGGACGGGAUUGUGCUGAGGAUGGACUGGAUAGCCCUGUGGUGGUACUGGAUGAUACGAUGGAGGCACCGAAUUGUACUGUGGUAAUGUCUGGUGAUGCGGUUGGGGCACUGGACUAUACUGUGGUGGUGCUGGGUAGUACUGUGCCUAGAGCAUCAGAUCAUACUGUGGUGGUGCUAUAUGGUACUGUGGAGGAGUAGGAUCGUACCGGGGUAGCUCAAGAUCCUCCCGUUGCAAGGGUGGCUCGACUUGUGGCAGCGGGAGAGGGUCAGGUAGCUCCCUCCUUUCUUUCCGGGUCUACUGGGCAGUGAUGAGUCUCUCCAGCAUUUCAAACAACCGGUCAACAUUCUCUCAAAACAAACCCUCUCGGGCUGCUUGGUUUAGUGGGAGUCUUCCUUU